CUAGAAGAGUUUCAACUAGAUUGCUGACAUUUUUUAAUCUUUCCGAUUUUAAGCAAAAAUAUCUGUCAUAAUUAUAAUGAGUAAGGUAAUCUAGCCUUGGAAAAGCCUCAUUACACAAGGUAAUCAAAUAAAAUAGAUUGAUAUGUUCUAUUCUGGCAUAAAAAAUAUUUUAACCUUUUCCUGAUUUAUUGCACAAACUACUGGCAAUUGAAUUAUAGGGAUUAUGAACACUGCUGUGUUCUGGUAAUCAUUAAUUAGGGCAAUAUUUUAAAUAGCCUUUAUUAAAUGAGGGAUGAGAUGUAUGAUCCUUCUAAAUGCAUCCGUUUCCCCUAACUCUCGCCAACUCUAGAGCAGAAGAAGUUGAAAUGAAUGUGUACGUUUUGCCAUACUGACGAACAAAUUGUCCUCUUAUGUAAAAAUACAGAAGUCCUGGCCUCUUUUAGUAGUGGAGUUCUUGCCAGCUUCCCAACCCUCAUAGGUUCAUGUUUCAUUUUAAAAUAAAGGGACAUGGUAGAAAUGCUUGUGGGACUUCUUAUGUUAUCUGCACAAAUGGUUUUACGUAGACAUUUUCAUUUCACUGGCCCUAUUGCCUCUCUAUCAAGUGAUAGUUAGGACGCCACUGCCCAAGUGGGAACAGUUCUGUGCUCAUCUGCAGCUCUGGUUAUAAAAAUAAUAGAACUGAUAUACCCAUUCAGCAUAACCGUGUCUGGACCAUGUCUCCAGCGUGGCCCUUCUUCUAUCGUUAAUGUCCUGUGCAGUAUGGACGUCCUGAUAGGAGGUUAUAAUCUCACUCGAUCCUGCCAGGAUUUUAUGCAUCCUGUGUUUUUCUUUCAUUGCCUAGAUGUUGUUGGUCAAGCACAUCACAAAAUUGGUUUAAAUUUCAUUUCUCUCAGUGUCUUGUUGGUCUGGAGGCCCUUGUAGUUCCAACAUUCACAUAAUUUCUAUAGCACACCUGGGAGCUCUUUGAGGUCUUCUUAGAAUUUAUGAAUUAAUUUUUUUUAGUAAAGGGAAAGGGCUGUCUUUUGUAUUUGUUUGCAUUCUCCUACGUAGAAUCCCUUAUGACUGUGGGGCUUCAGAAUUCUCUGUAUGUGUGGCAUUUACAUAGAGAUGCAUGUCAGCCUGGGCAGAAGUAUCAGCAUAUACUCCCUUUGAUCUUAGGGAAUCGCCUUAUGUCACCUUGUGAAUGAAAACAAUUACCUUAAUAGGGCAUACUGUAGUGAUGGCUUCCAUUACAAGCCUCUAUUUAAACAACCUCUUCUGAAUCACCAAGUGAAGAAUGGAGCAAAUAAAGAUGGAAAAAAUAGUCACUGUACACAACGCUUCUACCUUCACUUCUCUGAAACCGUAGUUAAUGCCUUAUUAUACUGACACUCCUGUUGUACAAAAAAGAAUUGAGAAUGCAGAUACAAUUUCCCAGCUAAUUAUUUCAUUAUAUGGAAGUGACAUGUGUGAAGUAAUAAAUUACCACUGCCUUCCUAAGAGUCAGCUGUUGUGGAUUUCCAUGCUGAAAGUUUCAAGUAGAAUGAAGAAUUUCUCUUGUGACUACUCUGGUUAAGUGAAAAAUGCUUUCUGUAUCUAUGGGUAUAAUUCCACCUUCUUUUAGCAGAUAGUGACCACUGACAUAGGGUGGUGAGAUGUAUGUGAGUCAAUUAUUGCUUACAGAGAAACCCCCAGGGGCUGUCAAGGGGAUGGCUACCAGCAGCUACAAUAGUCUAGACCAUACCUCUUCUCUUAUGGCUCAAGCAGUAGAUGCAUGAAUUGUGGUGAAAGAAACUUCAUUUUACUUUAAAAAAAAAAAAAAAAGGAAGAAA